rnacentral:rRNA from 1 species
GACAGAGGGUGCAAACGUUGUUCGGAAUUACUGGGCGUAAAGCGCGUGUAGGCGGCUAAGUAAGUCGGGCGUGAAAUCCCACGGCUCAACCGUGGAAGUGCACUCGAAACUGCAUAGCUAGAGUCCUGGAGAGGAAGGUGGAAUGCUUGGUGUAGAGGUGAAAUUCGUAGAUAUCAAGCGGAAACACCGGUGGCGAAGGGCGGCCUUACUGGACAAUGC